rnacentral:rRNA from 1 species
UUCUCCCUGACUCCCUGAGAGUCCUGAAGGAACGUUGAAGACGACGACGUUGAUAGGCCGGGUGUGUAAGCGCAGCGAUGCGUUGAGCUAACCGGUACUAAUGAACCGUGAGGCUUAACCUU